GGAAGUUGGGUGUAGAACGUGUGAAAGGGUAAGAUUCAUGAAGGACUUUAAAUGCCAGGCCAAGAAGUCUGGCAUCAUCCUCACGUGCAUUCGGAAACCUUUACUGAUUCAUUGCUUGGUUGGUCCCUGGGUGCCAGAGAGACAGUGGUGAGCUGGGAUCUUCCACUGAUUCCUCAGAUCCACUGGGCGCCCUUCUCUGACCUGGGAGGCUGACCACAUCGCAGGCCCCCUGCCCUCUGGCUGCUGUUUAGAGGUGGCAAAUUAGAUGCACUAGCAAGAGACCAGAGGGUGAAGGGAGAGAGCAAUGGCUAUUUAUCACCCCAGUCCUCUCCCCUGUGGGCCAGCUGUGCCUGAAUCACUGCUGUGCCUGGUCAGCUGUGUCUGGCCACUGCUGCUGGCAGACUGCCCUCUCCAGACAGCUCUCUCUGGGUCAAGGAAAUCGCUGCCUCUCAGGACCCUCCAGGCUAGGUUGGCAAUGGAUCCCCACUGAUACUCAUCCUGGGUGUCACACCAUCUUUGCUGCUCCCCUUAAACUCUGCCCACAUCCUUGCAAGUAGUCCCUUUACCAAACUAUUCUCAGUUCCUCAACUUGGUGUGUGUACCAUUGUCUCUUCCCAGGACCAUGACUCACAAAAAUAAUAAAUGAGGUCCCAGCUCUCAUGAAGCGCAGCUUGCACUUGCAUAAGCAGCAGAAAGACUGGAGCAGAUAUCUAUGUUCUGGAAGAGUCACUGGAUGACCGUGAGGUGUAAGACUGUGAUGUGGUGAGGGCAAGGGCUGUUGCUGUCAUCCUCAAGACAGAUGCCGGUGGCCUACAUCAGGGAGGAGCCUUGGAGGACAAGGAGGGAGAACCACUUGGCAAGCCAGAUUGACAAACCUGACCUCAGACAGAAAGAGAUGAAAUAAAUGCCCUGGGCUGAGGCCAUUGUGCUUGGUGGAAUGACAUCAAGAGUAGGAGGCAGACGUCUAUGUGCUCCCAUCUCAGCACUGCCAUUUGCAAGCUGCUCUGCUUUAGGGUCAAGCUCAGUACCUGGAACGCAGUGGAUGCUUGAAUGAACAAACAGAUGAAUGACUAAAAUGCAGAACAAACGCCUAAAUAAAUGGAGAGGAGAUGGACUUCUUCUUGUGAACCAAAAUGCUGGUAAUGCAAAUCAAGGCACACUUGGAAUUCUCUGCUGCAGAAGACUUCCAAGGAUCAGGCCUGGAAUCUCUUAACCCACCCUCUGAUACUCGCUUUUGUUUCUGGGACUGAGAAUCUGGAUUCUGACAAGCCGGAGUUCAAAUCUCAUGUCUGCCCCUAACUGUGAGACUUUGGGCAGGUUGCUCCUCUUUCUAGGCCUCUGUUUCCUCAUUUAUAAAAUGGAAAUAGUUACAGUACCUAAAUCAAAAGGUUAUUGUGAGGCUUAAAUGAGACUAUAUAAAAUGCUGAACACAUGCAGCAAUGUAUAGAGAUCAGAUCAUCACCACCCCAUAGUUCCUGCCACCAGGAGAGGAUAAACCCUCAAGUUGACCAUCUUGCUGCAUUCACACUGAUUGUAGGUUUCCUUCUGAGAACUGGGCUUCAGCUUUGUUCUUGAGCCAAGGCCUGAUUUACUUAUAACCCCUCUCUCUUUUUUUUUUUUUUUUUUUUUUUUUGAGACAGAGUUUCGCUCUUGUUACCCAGGCUGGAGUGCAAUGGCUCAAUCUCGGCUCACUGCAACCUUCGCCUCCUGAGUUCAGGCAAUUCUCCUGCCUCAGCCUCCUGAGUAGCUGGGAUUACAGGCACACGCCACCAUGCCCAGCUAAUUUUUUAUAUUUUUAGUAGAGACGGGGUUUCACCAUGUUGACCAGGAUGGUCUCAAUUUCUUGACCUCAUGAUCCACCCGCCUUGGCCUCCUAAAGUGCUGGGAUUACAGGCUUGAGCCACAUCACCCAGCCAUAACCCCUCUCUUUCUAUCUUCCCACGCACUGCUAGUUGCUCAGUCCUGGGCUCCAGAGACUCAGUCCCUGUGUUCUCCCAAGUGUUGUUAGUGGGCCCAGCUCCAAGCAAGUUUCAGGGUUGGAGGCAAAUGCCAGCUCCACUGAGGUCUCCCUAGCCCAUACCCCCAUCCCAGUGAAGAGGAGGUUACCAAAAGGAGGAAAGGAAAGAGGAUAUCAAGCAGGAAUGAUUGGGCGAGAAAAGGUGUGGAAGUGAAAACAGGCAUGACAAGUGUUCUGAUUACCUGUUACUACAAAAUAAAUCACCCCAGAAUUUAGUGGCUUAAAAUAACAAUGAUGUUAUUCUCUCUCAUGGUUUCUGUGGAUCAGGAAAUCAGAGAGGGCUCUGCUACAUGAUUCUUGUUUGGCAUCUCCCCUAGGUUGCAGUGAGUCUGUAGCUGAGCAUCUCUGUCCUCAUGCAGACUCAGGACCUCCCCAUGUGAUCGCUGCAUGGGGUAGUUGGGCUUCCUCACAGCAUGGUGGCCUCAGAACAGUCAGCUGCCUUACAUAGUGGCUUAGAGCUCCAAAUGUAAACAUCCGAAGAGACUCAGUUGGAAGCUGCAUUGCCUUUUGUGAUCUAGCCUUAGAAGUCAAAUACAGUUGGCCCUUAAACGACAUGGCCACCAACCCCUUGCACAGUCAAAAAACCAUGCAUAACUUUUGACUCCUCCAAAACUUAACUACAGAUAGCCUACUGUUGACCAGAAGCCUUAUCAAUAACACAAACAGUUGAUUAACACAUAUUUUAUAUGUUAUAUGUAUUAUAUACUAUAGUUUUAAAAUAAAGUAAGCUAGAGAAAAAAAUGUAAUUAAGAAAACCAUCAGGAUUAGCCAGGAGUGGUGGUGGGUGUCUGUAAUCUCAGCUACUCAGGAGACUGAGGCAGAAGAAUUGAUUGAACCUAAGAGGUGGAGUUGCAGUGAACCAAGAUUAUGCCACUGUACUCUAGCCUGGGCAACAGAGUGAGACUCCCUCUCAAAAAAAAAAAUCGUCAGGAAGAAAAAAUAUAUUUACUAUUCAUUAAGUGGAAGUGGGUCAUCAUAAAGCUGAUGAUUUAUUGUCAUCAUCUUCACACUGAGUAGGCUGAGGAGGAGGGGGAAGAGGAAGGAUUGGUCUUGCUGUCCUAGGGAUAACAGAGGCAGAAGAAAACCUUGGUAUAAGGGGACCCAUUGCAAUUCAAACCUGUGUUGUUGAAGGGUCAAUUGUAAUGUCAUGUCUACUGAACUCUGUUGGUCAAAAUAGUCAGAAAAUCCUGUCUAGUUUGAAGAGGAGGGCGUGUAAACUCUACCUCUCAAUGAAAGGAAAGUCAAAGUCACAUUAUAAGAAGAGCAUGCAGAAUGGGUAAGAUUAUUGCGUUCCUCUUUGGAAAAUACAAUCUGUCACAGCAAGUCUAAGGGACCUGCAGGAAACCACUUUGGCUGUAUCAAGACAGUCUACAUAGUAAUUUGAGGAAUUAAGCUGGUGGAGGUUGCCAGCGGUGUGUUUGUUUGAAAGGGUAUGUUUAGACUUGGCCUGGAGGCAUAAGGGAGCAAAGCAGGUCUGUAAAACCAGGAGCUUUGCAUGACUUGGAGGGAGAUAAAAUUUAGUCCUGCUCAGGGAAAGGAUAAAGAAAGGAGAACCACUUAGGGACAGCAACAAUACCAACACUGUAUGGUUAUCUCAACCUAUGUGCCUCUGGGACCCCCCCGGGUCUUUUUCUUCUGUGCUGGGGCUCAUUCACACACUGGCAUUGCUUUUCCACCUACCAGUGUUACAAUUAUUGCUUUUCCAGCUCCAAGAAUUUUGUACAUUUUUGUUUUGUUUUGUUUUGCAGGAUCAUGCUUUCCCAUUAGUCCGAGGCACACUGACAGCUCUCUUCUUUUCUCCCAGAGGAUUAGCAAUUCCUAAUGCAGCAUUAUCUGCCAUUUUUUUAGUUCUAUAGGAUGUAACGUUGGAUGAAACUGGGUGAAGGGUGCACAGGGCCUCUUUAUCCUAGCUUUGCAACUU